rnacentral:rRNA from 1 species
UACAGAGGUGGCAAGCGUUGUUCGGAAUUACUGGGCGUAAAGGGCUCGUAGGCGGCCAACUAAGUCAGACGUGAAAUCCCUCAGCUUAACUGGGGAACUGCGUCUGAUACUGGAUGGCUUGGAUUCGGGAGAGGGAUGCGGAAUUCCAGGUGUAGCGGUGAAAUGCGUAGAUAUCUGGAGGAACACCGGUGGCGAAGGCGGCAUCCUGGACCGAUAUUGACGCUGAGGAGCGAAAGCCAGGGGAGCAAACGGG